AGUACAAAAUGAGGGUACUUGACUUCAUCUCCUCCACCUACUAUGAAGGCAACAAGAAUAUUUGGAAGAAACAGCCUGUAGACUGUGGAAACUGAUCCCAGGUUGAGUAAGGAAUUCAGCCUGGAUAUUAAGAACUGUGAACUGUUUUCAAUGCCCAUUGAGAUCUAUUGCAACUACACCUGGAAACUUCAUUUACUUCGGCAUACCCUGUUGUUACUUCAGAAUGACAAACCGUCAGGAGCUCAGAAUGCAGCUCUCAAAGUCUUCAGGGAUGAGAUCUUUCAGGACAAACAAAAAAAC